CAGUCGCCGCGGUAAUACGAAGGGUGCAAGCGUUAAUCGGAAUUACUGGGCGUAAAGCGUGCGUAGGCGGUUUGUUAAGUCUGUUGUGAAAUCCCCGGGCUCAACCUGGGAAUGGCAAUGGAUACUGGCAAGCUAGAGUGUGUCAGAGGAUGGUGGAAUUCCCGGUGUAGCGGUGAAAUGCGUAGAGAUCGGGAGGAACAUCAGUGGCGAAGGCGGCCAUCUGGGACAACACUGACGCUGAGGCACGAAAGCGUGGGGAGCAAACAGGAUUAGAUACCCGGGUAGUCCCUGUCUCUUAUAC
rnacentral:rRNA from 1 species